GGCGGUAGGCUUAACACAUGCAAGUCGUGCGAGAAAGUAUCUUCGGAUAUGAGUAGAGCGGCGGACGGGUGAGUAACGCGUAGGAAUCUACCUAGUAGAAGGGGAUAGCCCGGGGAAACCCGGAUUAAUACCGUAUACCUCCUUCGGGAGAAAGAAGGCCUCUCUUUGAAGCUUUCGCUACUAGAUGAGCCUGCGUAAGAUUAGCUUGUUGGUGAGGUAAAGGCUCACCAAGGCGACGAUCUUUAGCUGGUCUGAGAGGACGAUCAGCCACAUUGGGACUGAGACACGGCCCAGACUCCUACGGGAGGCAGCAGUGGGGAAUAUUGGACAAUGGGCGCAAGCCUGAUCCAGCCAUACCGCGUGUGUGAAGAAGGCCUUCGGGUUGUAAAGCGCUUUAAGCAGGGAGAAAAAGUUAUAAGUUAAUACCUUAUAACCCUGAUGUUACCUGCAGAAUAAGCACCGGCUAAUUCCGUGCCAGCAGCCGCGGUAAUACGGAAGGUGCAAGCGUUAAUCGGAAUUACUGGGCGUAAAGCGCGCGUAGGUGGUUUGUUAAGUUGGAUGUGAAAGCCCUGGGCUCAACCUAGGAACUGCAUCCAAAACUAACUCACUAGAGUACGAUAGAGGGAGGUAGAAUUCAUAGUGUAGCGGUGGAAUGCGUAGAUAUUAUGAAGAAUACCAGUGGCGAAGGCGGCCUCCUGGAUCUGUACUGACACUGAGGUGCGAAAGCGUGGGUAGCGAACAGGAUUAGAUACCCUGGUAGUCCACGCCGUAA
rnacentral:rRNA from 1 species